GUGGCACAGUUGGUAGCACGGUGUCCUUGCUGUUGCCAAGAAGGUUCUGGGUUCGACUCCCGGCCA